rnacentral:lncRNA from 1 species
UCUCCUCUCUCUCUCUCUCUCUCUCUCUCUCUCUCUCUCUCUUUUCCCCAAAUCAGCUUCUUAAUUAAUAUUUGCAUUGUGGUUUCAUUUCAUAUUCAUUUUCCUCCUAAAUUUCUUCCUUUCACUUUUUUUUUUAAUGUCUAAAAGGUGGAAGACCUGAUUGCCAUCAGAGAAUUUAUUCAGUGAAAUACUUCAUUGAUCAAAGCUAUAGGCGGACCUGACUGGUUUCAUAUCAUUUUCAUUUGCCGAUUCAAUUAAGGAACCGAGGCAGAUAGAACCAGAUCAAUACAAGAGAGAGAGAGAGAGAGAGAGAGAGAGAGAGAGAGAGAGAGAGAGAGAGUAUAUUACCAAGAAAAAAUGGAUAUUAUCAAUAAGAGAGAUUACGUUUUCAAGAAAAAAGGGAGAGAGAAAAUUAUUUUAUUUUAUUUUUAUGAGAGAGAAAAUAAAAUUAAUGAUUGUUUAUUUAAAACAUUAAAACUAUUUGUCAUGUUAGAUUUAUUCUCAACCAUUAAAAGUAGAGUAAUCUAAUGGCCCAAAAAUUGUGUCAAAACUUUUGUCAAAAAUAUGGUGCCACGGAUCCACUAUAUAUAUAUAUAUAUAUCACAAAACAUCCUGAGGUUCACACACCUAUUACAAAUUAGGGCUAGACAAUUAAACCAUCAACUCAAAAAAUCGGCCGAACCAAACCGAUCAGAUUAGUUUGGUCUGAUUAUUUAUUUGUUAAUUAUUUAAUAUCGGGUUUUGGUUUACAAUUUGAGAUUUUAAAUGAACCGGACCUUCACUAUUGGCAAGCCAAAUAUUACAAAAAUAUAUAUAUAUAUUUUGCAACAAUGGGGUUCAAAAACCCCACACCUCCAGGUAAGAAUUAUUCUUGCUUUCCACUGGAGCAAUCAAGCUUCUUGUGUAAUCUUUCCAUAAAUAUGAUAUAUAAUUAGUUACUCCCAAUAAUAAAUAUUUUUAAAAAAAAAAAAGUGAGAGCAUGCAAGUAAACAUUAUGCAUGCACAUCUGCACUGAAACCAACGUUCUAAUUCUUUUUCUUCUCCUCAUAUCUCACCUCUCUCUACGCCCUCAUUUUUUAUUUUUUUUCCCCAUCUUCUUCUUCAUUCAGUCACUUUCCAUCUCUCCCUCUCUUUUUAUUUAUUUUUCCUUCUUCUCUUUCUCUCUCUUUCUUUUCUUCCUCCUCCUUCCCUCUUUUGCGUUGUCUCCCAUGUCUCUCUCGUUUUUCUAUUUUUUCCAUGCUCUCUCUUCUUUCUAGGGGUGGGCACUCAAACCGGCGAACCGGAAAUCCGAGCCGAACCGCACCGAACCAAACCGGAAAAAAACCGAGUUGACCAAAAAGUCAAAAACCGGUCAAAAACCGAACCGGACCGGUUUGGACCGGUUCCGGAUCCGGUUCCAUGUCUUCAAAAACCGAACCGGGCCGAACCGAACCGGUGAAACUAAAAAAAUAUAUAAUUUCAAUAUAUAUUUAUAUUUAAUGCUAUAUUUUUAAUUUCACUAAAAAAAACAUAAUAUUUAUCCAAGUUCAAUGUCAAAAUCUCUCUCUUUUCUCACUUUAAUAUUUAUUUUUUAUAUGAAAUUGAAUAAUUUGUUAAUUUUCAAGUAAAAAAAUAAUAUUUCAGUUGAGAAUUGUAUUAAAAAAUAAUUUAAAAAAAUAAUUUUUAUAAUCCGGUUCAAAACCGAACCGGAACCGAAACCGGACCGGAACCGGUUCAAACCGAACCGGACGGUUUUUGAAAUUUUUUUUAUUAAAACCGAACCGAACCAAACAGAAUGAAUAGUAUCGGAUCGGUUCUAAUUUGAGGCAAAAACCGGUCCAAACCGAACCGUGCCCACCCCUACUUCUUUCUAUUGUUUUCCAUCGCUCUCUCUUCUCUUCCUUCUUCUCCGUCUUCUUCCUGCGGUCUCUGUCUUCUUCUUUUUCUAUUUUUUCCCUUCUUCUUCUUCCUCUCUUCCCUAUCUCAAUCUCUCCUUAUGUCUAUUUUUUCCCAGCCUACUUUUUCUCUCUUCGGCCUAAACCCGAAACCGAACCAAACCAAAUCACAAACUUCGGUUAACUAGAAUGGUCGGUUUCACAAGUUAUGGUUCGGUGCACGAUUUUCAAAAUAGCUAACCCGAAGCCUUCUGUUCGGUGUUCAGGUUGAGCCUAAAACCGAACCAAUCCAGACCGAGCCCACACCUAGCACAAAUGGUCCUUGCGAACUUUUUUUAUUUUUUCAUUUAAAAUUCAUAAAAUUUUGGUUUUCUUUUUAAAAUUAUUUUAAAACAUAUAUUGUAUUUUAAAUACACAUGACACUAUAUUAUCAUAGAUGUAGGCUCCAUAUAUAUGCCACAUCAACAAACUAAUGAAAUUUUUAAAUGAUCCUCAAGGUUAAAAUCCUUCUAUAAAUAAGUUUUUUUAUAUUCCAUCUCCAUUGUAAAACUCUGUUAUCUAUCUCUCAUUUCAGGAUUUGAAAUAAGAAUCUCCAUAAUAUUAGUUCCAUUAAAAUCUCGGUAAAAUGAAAUUGCCAAGCCAAGAUGAGCCCAUUAGAUGAUUCUGACCCAUACAGAACAUCUGAACUAAAAAGAUUGGAUAAAAUACAGCCACAUUUCAUAUGCAUGCCACCUCUGGUAUUUGGAAAAGUUUGUCUCCCUGAUUUGUGGUCUUGGUGAAGCUCUCACAUUUAUCUAAAAUGCCGGGAGUGUAAAUUCUCUCUCCUCCAAAAAAAAAAACAUAAGAUUUUGCUGUGGCCACUAAAUAAUAUGAAAACUUCUUUACAUUUGAUUAUAGUUGAAUAUGAUGAAUAGGGUAUACUUAUUAAAAUAUAUUUAUUUUACAAUUCAAUAUAUCUUAUUUGUUCAUUUUAUAUUAGGAUAAAUUAGUAAUUCAAUAAAUACUUUAGUAGUAGGGUGUACUCAAUUAAUUUUAGGGUUUGUUCAGUAGCACUCUUCAGUUAAUCAUAUUCUAUCUGCUAUCAAACCACUGUUGUUGAGAACUUCUAGUAGUUGUAUUUUCUGGUUAUCAAAUUCUAGUAGUUAUUCAUUACUCCCAUUUAGCAAAUGUUAGUUGCAAUCAAUUUCAAGUUGCAACGACCUCUACUCUCUAGUAGUUAUUUAGUUUUACCCCUCUCGUUUAUAUUAAUUAUCUUUCAUCCAUUCUUCAUUCCCAUCUCUCUCUCUCUCUCUCUCUCUCUCUCUCUCUCUCACAUAAUCACCCUGGCAACUUUCUAUACCACAUUACAAGCUUUGAUUAAUUCCUCUUAAUUAACCAUGGAAAUUAAUGCAAAAGCUCAACACCGCUCAACCACAGAGCCAUUGCUCCCAAUUUCACGCAACCCUUCAAACCCAUCGUGUCCAGUCAAUCGCAUCCCAAUCCAUUGCAAGAUUAGUACACGUCCACCGCAUUCUAUUACUUGCAUUAGGGACAUUCACAUUGUUAUGCGUCUUCAUGCUCCCGCCCACACAGACCCCAAAAAUCCAACUCGACUCACUCUUCAUGUCCAAGCUUAACGUUUCAAACACGUCACUAGAGGCCAAUUGGGACAUGGCCUUCACCGUAGAAAACCCCAAUAUGGUCUCUUGGGUUUAAUUCAACCGCAUAGAGGGUUCAAUUCUGUACAAGGGCAACCCUCUCGCGACAUACUCUGUUGAGCCAUUUGACUUGGGAUUGAAGGAACAAAGAUUGAUGCGUGUGAAGAUAUCAAGGACCGGAUUACAGGAUGAGCCGGAGAUGAAGGUGUCGGAUUUGGAAGAAAUGAAUAAGCAACGUGAAGAUGGUGCUGUGAGUUUGAAGAUGGAAAUGUUUGCAUGGGCUACGUAUAAGAAGGGUUGGUGGGGAACAGAAGAUGUCAUGAUGGAGGCUCACUGUUUGGAUUUGAGGGUUGGUUUCUUGCCUAAAUUUGGGUUCGGUUGCUGUAUCAGCCUAAGGCCGAUGACUUGCUCUACUGGUUCGUAUGCUAGUUGGUUAAAUCGGAAAGUUGUUGAUUUUUUCUUUAGGCAGGACUAGGGUUUUUAGUCUGAGAUUGUAAUUUGAUGGAUGUAGAUGAAGCCUGUAAAUUAUGAACAAGGAAGAACUUGUCUUUUCUUCUCAAGGGAAUGCAUGCAUCAAAAUUGGAGACAAUGUCAACAUUCUUUUUUAUCUUUAUCCAUGUGUAAAUUGAAAAAGGAUAUCACAAUUACAAAACCUUCCACUAAACGUUUGUGGCUAUAUUUUUAAUCAAAUCAUAAGAAAAAAAAAAUUCACCACACACAAAGAAAUUGAACAUAUAUAAGAUCUCUAGAAUGGUGUAUACUUCCGUGUGUUUCGAGAAUAUAUUAUAUAUGAAACUCUUUUUCAUUAUAAAAUUUAACAAAAAGACGUAAAUUAUAAAAAAUUAAAAAUGCACGAACCAAAAAACUUAAGUGGUACCUAGUCAAACCUCGUCCAAUCAAACUCACCAUCAACUAUUAUAAACUUAGGUUGGGUAAUUUUUCAAUGUGAGACAAACUCUCAACAAACCCAGCCAAUCAAUCUGAGUGAGAUCGACUAACCGAGAGAGAGAGAUGUUGAGAAAUGUUUUGGCGGAACAGAUUCUCCAAUUUUGGAAACACAAUUUCAUUCUUUUGUUUUCACUUUCGAAAAUAAUUUGUGAAAACAUUUCCAAAAAAUGGUGCCGAACUUUUCUACAUUGAUAGGGAAAACAACCUUAAUGAUAGUGUUUGGUCUACUUUUUACUCAGAUUAUAGGUAAAGACUCUCGCUCCUAAUUAUAUGUGUUUGACUUGGUUUAGAUCUUCCAUGCACUGUUUUGUCUAAUAAAUUGAAGUGCUAAAAAGAGCAUUUUAAUUUUUUAAUUUUUUAAUUUUUAUUUUUUUUUGAGGCGGCUUAUAAAUGUCAGAGAUGGCCCCCUUGAUACUUCAACAAACCUUGCAACUCAGGUAAAUCAUGUACGAAUAUAUUCGUUAAUUUUUUUCUCUCACGUAUGAUUAAGUAUGUAGGUUGACACUUGAACAACCUUCUAUUUCUAGAGUUUUCGCUCAGCUAACCAUUUUAUUUGUUAUCAAAUGACUGACAUUUAGAAAAUCCAGUAGUUAUUCGUUAGUCCCUUUUAGCAAAUGUUAGUUGGACUCAGUUUCUGUUUAUAACCUUCUAUUCUCUAGUAGUUAAUUAGCUUUACCCUUCUCCUUUAUAUCAACUUUCCUUCCCCCAUUUCUUCAUACCCAUCUCUCUUUCUCCCCGAAACCCUAGUAAGCUGGAUUAUUGCAUCACAAGCAUAAGUUUCUAUUAACCAUGGAUUCUAAUAGAACAGCACAGCGCUCAGCCACAAUGCCACUACUCCCAGUUUCAUACAACCCUUCAAUUUCAAACCCCAACAUAUCUCUGUCUAUCACAUCUCGAUUCACUGCGAAACUAGUACUUCUCCACCGGAUUUUGUUGUUCGUGUUAGGGAUCGUCACGUUGCUAUGCGUAGCCAUGGCCACAUCCUUAGUUCCACAGCCCCCGAAAAUCAAACUCAACUCUCUCUUGGUGUCGAAAAUUAACGUCUCAAACACAAAGCUAGGGGCCAACUUUGACGUGGCCUUCACAAUAGAGAACCCUAAUCUAGUCUCGUGGAUUUACUUUGACCACAUCGAUGGUUCGAUUUCUUACAAAGAUAACGCUCUCAUAACAUACUCGUUGGACCCUUUUGUACUGGGAUUGAAGGAACAUAGAAUGAUGCGUGUGAAGAUAUCCGUGAAUGGAUUACAGGAAGAUCAGCCGGUUGUGAAGGAGAGGGUUUUGGAAGAAAUCCAUAGGCAACGUGAAGAUGGUGCUGUGAAUUUCAGCCUGGAAAUGUUUGCACGGGCUACGUAUAGGACCGGUUGGUGGGGGACAAAGUCUGUUUUAAUGAACCCUCAAUGUUUGGAUUUGAGGGUUGGCUUCUUGCCUAAAGUUGGUUUCGGAAGCUGGAUUAGUGGAGGGCCUAUGACUUGCGCAGUUCCAAUGCUAAUUGAUGACUAAAUUUGAAUUUCUUUUCCCUUUUUCAAGUUACCUAGCUAGGCUUUUUGGUUUUAGUUACAAGGGAGCCUAAAUUAAGCCUUUUAAUUGGAGGUUGUAAUGUAAUGUUACUAUCUAGUAGGAUCUUGCAAAUUAAAAGUAGAGUUGAGCUUUGUUUCCAACGGGCACUAAAAAAAAAUCAGCAAUAGUCACCUUUUUUUUCCGUGACUUUUGAAAGCAUUGGUCACCUUUAUUGGUAACUAAAAGCUUUAGUAACGAUGCAGCUACAAAUUUUGAGUUGGUGAGAUUUGUGACCAUUACUAUUGGCCUUUAUCACCAUUAAUAAAGAAAGUGACAAACAAAAUGUUGACUUUUCAGUUACCUUUACACUUAUAUUUUUUUAUUUUUUUUAUCUUUAAUUAGUUUAAUAAUUUUCUGAAUUAUAUAUGUUUUAAAUAAUUACAAUUUCCUUUUGAUAUACUUUAAUGGCAUAAUAACAAUAAUUCCUUUUUUUUCUUUUUUUUCUGAUAAGAUAAUAAUAAUAAUUCCUUGAUAAUGCACUUCAUGUGUAAAAGAGGCCUCUAAUAUUAUUAUUUAAUUAAAUAUAAAUACUCAAUUGAUACAUAAUGGUAAUUAAGUAGUACAAUAUUUUCCUAAUGAAUACAAAAUUUGUACAAUCCUAUGCAAACAAUAAUACAUACACGCCUAAGAAGACCUGUAGCUAGUACUUUCUAAUCCAAGCACUCCUCCGAUCCUACCAUACAAACGAAUGAAGCAACUGAAGUGUCCUCCAUUCCUGCAAUUGAAGUGUCCACCAUUCCUGUAAGUAAAUCCAAAUGACAAAGAAUGAAAUUAAAGAGUCCCAAGUACUAGAAGUUAGUAGAUAUUCAAGCUUAAGGAAUUACAACCUCACCCUCUUCUUUUGUAGUUGGUAGCAUUAAACGUUCAUUUGUCUAUGGUGAAGGGAUCUGAUCAUUGUUUGUAGUGAACUAAUAGUAGUUCACAUAUCAUAGUUCAAGAAGAAGUUAGAGGUAGAGCAAGGGCAUAGUUCAAAUAGGGAAAGAAAGAGAAAAGGGAAGAUCAAAAUAAAAUAAAAUCUAAGAAAAUAAAAAUCUUGUAGUAAUCUAAAUGAAUAACCCCAACCCACCAAUGUUCAAGGGAAGAGAAACUCAGAUAAAAUAACAUCUUUACAACUCAGAAAUAGAAAAGGUGAAUUACAAAGAGUAUAUUAAUAAAAUAGAAUAAAUUUAAACGGACCUGGGAAUAGAGGUGCCUCUAGCAAUUCCACUGCCCCUGCAGAACUUGAUCUUCCUACAUCAUAGAAUAUCAAAGAAUAUAUUAAUAUAUAAAAAAGUAGAAAGAAAAAAACUUAUACAUAAAACAAAAUACAAGGAAAGUCAUGACUGAAGCAAGCCCUACUCUAGCUCUCAGAUCUGAGAUAUAACAUCUCAUAUUUGAGAUUUAAUCUAAAAGGACCUCCCAGAGCCAAAGAAACUCGCUAGAAAAACUAGGGAGAAAUAACAAACUCUGUCAAAAGCAAGGAGAUAACCAAAAAAAAUGGAGGGAUCGGGGUGAAAACCACCGGAUCUAAAAAGAAAAAAGGGGUUGCUGGGUUGUUUUGAGAGAGAAGAGCUUAUAAAAGAAAAGGGGUUGCUGGGUUGUUUUGGGUUGUCAAAAGCAAGCCCUUUAGAAAUUCAACUAGAUCAAGUAAUCUCACACUUUAAAGAAAAUGGGUUACUUUAAUGGUUAACCAAUGUAAUAUUUAAUUCUUUUUUUAUACGUAUUUCCAUUUUUAAUGUGUUCUAUACAUAUUUAAUUGGAUUACUAUUCUCAAGGAAGAUUAUCCUCAAAUAUUAUAUUUAACAAAUUACUGCUAUGUGUCAGUUGGUUUACAUUUAUUAUAUUUAAAUCAAUAGUCACCAAUUCUUUAAAGUGUGAGAUAAUUAGUCACAAAUAAUGGUGACUAGUAACCAAAGUCAUUAAUCACCCAUUCAAAUGUCACCAAAACUAUUUUGUUGCUAUAAAAAUGUGACUAAUGCUUUCUUUUUUUGUAGUGGGGAAUCUAUCAAAAUAGAAGUAAAGUUAUAUACGUACAAAUAUUUUGGUGAUAUUGUCUCAUGGAAGACGCAUAAAACCAUGUCUCUGUGAAAUUUUUAGAUGCUUGUAAAAAGCCUCUUCUACGUGGAUGUAUUACCUAAACUUGAUCGAGGACACUUUUUAUUCACAUACUAAGAAAUAUUUUAACUAGAUGCCUUCAAAAUAUAGUUAACUAAAUAGAGGCCUUCACUACACAUGCCAAAAUUUAAAAAGGAACAGAUGGAUUUGUGGAAUUUGGACAUCUAAUUCUAUUAUAUUUGUUUCUGUAUAAGCACUACAAGUUUGAAAUUGGCACAAUAAACUUUAGAUGAACUCUCAAAAUGAAACCGUUUUUGGGGUGUUUUGUUGUGCACUCUAGCGAUGUGGAAAUACUCGCUUGACCUAGUUUGAUGUCGAAUUACUUGGAAGUAAAUAGCUUUGAAGAAAGUUGAGGUUGAAACUUAAGUUUGGAUACUUCAUAAAGAAAUUUGGCUUUAAAAUGACUAUGGGUGCUUAAAAUCCAAUCAAAAUGGCCUAAACUGACUAAUCCAGUCCAAUCAAAUGCACUUUUGAUCAUUUUGAAGGCCUUAGGCAGGUUGAAUAUAGAUAGUUGUGUUCAUACUUUUUUGCUCUCAUACACGUGCGAUUGAAUAAAUUUUGAUUAAUUUUAAGUCAAUCAAAGUUAUGUUUAGUCCAUUUGAGAUCCUGUAGGGGCUUUUUCUUUUCGGCAGCUACUGUGGGCCUAGGCUGCUGUAAAGAGCUAAAUGUGUAAAAAUUGUCUCUGGGUCUGAGUUCAAGAAUUAGGCCCCGAGAAUGCUUCGAAAGGGUAGCUAAGCCUUAGGAAGCACCUUGGUUACCUUCACUAACAAAACUAACAGUUACUUACAGAUAAAUUCUUAGCUUUGACAUGAUAGACUUGUGGUAUGGAAGCAAAGCAAUCAUGAGUUUAGCAUUGAAGAGAGAGAGAGUUGUGAGUUCAUAUGAGAAACAUGGGUUCUAAGGAGAAGGGGAAGGGAUUCUAAGUGGGUUUUUUGAAGAGAGAGAGGGAUGAGGGUAUAUUAGGUGUGUUGAGUAGUUUCCGGCAGCUCGAUGAAAACUCUGUCAAACUUUGGAACAGUUUACCAAAAGGAAAAAUGGGGAGAGAUGGAAGGAGAUGAGGCUCGAAAUUGCAGAGGUUUCAGAGGUGAGAGAUAAAACUUGCUUUCCAGAUAUGUGUUGUUUGGGAUAAAGAAGAAGGAGAUAGAAGGUGAGGCACUUGGGCUUGAUGUUUCCAGCAGUUGGAGAAUAAGCUUGCUCAACUGCUCUGGUUGAGUUUAAUGAGUAGGAGGUACCUUCUUUUAUAGCCGCUAGAAGCUCCUCCUUCUCAAGAAACCCUAAUGGGUUCUCUCCAAUUUUGCCAAGUCUCCCCUUUCACCCCUUUCAUUUCUCUUCUCUCCCUUCGAUCCAUCCCAUUUUGUGAAAUUCUCUUCUGCCCAAUACUUUAUCAGAUUUUUGGGAAUUCAGAAGUUUUCCCGCAGCCAUUCCAGUGGUGAUUUCUUAUUUUUGGCUAUCAUCUCUCAUCCUUUCCUCCCUUAUUUCAUGGCAAGAUCUGGUAAAGGAAGGAGAUAGGUAAAUUUGGCUAGUCUGAAGGCUGCCUUUUCUCUUGCGCGCACCAAUAUCCUCUGGUUUUUUGAGCGAUCUGCCUUAAGGUUUGUUUUGCCCACUUGCUAGAGCCUCCCAGCAGUUCACAUACAUGGGCAACUUUGGCUUUUGUCUUGGCUUUUGUCUCCAGCUAAGUGAUGGAGAUUGCAGAUAUUUUGCUUGGUUGCUUGGGCCUUCCUAAGGUGAUGGGUUAACCCAUUAAGGGAAUGGGCUAAUUUCCUAAAGUGAUAGGCUAUUUUAUUGAGAUGAUGGGCUAAUUUUUCCUAAAAUAUUGGGCUAUUUCUCUCCUUUAUUCUUACCCACAUAUUUGAGCUCAAGAAAUGGGCUUGAGUUUUAGGGCUCUCAAGCAACCCAAAACUUCCAUUUCUCGGCUCAUCAAUAAGCCUCAUGAAAGCUCAUUACCAUCCAUACCACAACCCACUCAGCAAGCCCCGAGCAUUUUUCAUGGCUUGGGCCCACUUAAACUUGUAGCGUGGCUAGGUAAAUAAUAAUGAUUUUUCGCUUGGCAUUGCAUAUCGUUUGGCAUGCUUGAAUUUUGUCGCUUUGAAGAGGGAUAUGAAGCUUGACAGGAUAAUUAGCUUGGGGUCGUAAAGCCAGUGCUUAUUUCAACUCUUAGCAUGACAGAUUACAUAUUUAUUUGGCAUGGCACGUGGAUCAUGACUCGUGCAAGCGUGAAUGACAAACCUUCGCGUGCUCCAAAUCAGGUCUUUUUUUUAAUAAAGCAUUGCUUUGGGUCGGAAAUUUAUUUGGGUCAACCCUGAAUUUUUUGGGCCUCAACAGAUCCAAAACACUCUUACUUACAAUUUAAUUUUUACUUCACAUUCAUUUAUAUAUAUGUAAUUUGAUUAGAUAAUAUAUUGAAUGCUACGUCACCAAUUAAUUUAUCAAUAUUCACUCGUCACAUCAUAUUUAUUUUUAACAUCCUCAACUUUCUAAUUUAGUAUUUGUGGUAAUUCAAGAGCCACCGCAACAAUUUCGUCCCAGCAUCACGCUGCUGCCACCACCUGCCACUCCCCAACGGUUAACCAAACAAUGUAUAAGUUCAGGUUAUGAACCGUUGCGAAAUCACCGUGAAUUAACUUCAUUUGCUUUAACUAAUGAUGUUUAAUGGAUAUCACUAUUCAAGCAAACUAACAGUUUUAUCGGUUAUCAAAUUAAUGAAGUUUAGAAAUCUUCUUUCGCAUGUUUGUUAGAAUCUAGUUAUUCAGGUUUUUAACCGUUUUUGGUAGUUAUUUAGUUUUUUUUUAACAAUCUCUAGUGGUUUACAGUUUCCAUGGCCUUCUACUUUAUAUCCCAACUCUCUCACACAUUUCCACAAACCCAUCUCUCUUUCUCUCUCAAUUUCCUAUCAUCAGCCGUGGAAAUUAAUGCAAAAGCUGAUCAGCACUCAGCUACCAUGCCCCUACUCCCAGUUUCAUAUAGCCCGUCAAACGACAACGUUUCGCAGUCUGUUAAAUCAAGACGCAUUUCCAAAUUAUCCGUCUUCCAACCCAUUAUUCUAUUAUCACCUACAUUAUUAAUAUUUGGGACCUUGGCAUUGCUGUGCAUUUUCAUGUCCUUAUUGUCCCAAGUUCAUCCACAAGCCCCAAAUGUCCAACUAAACUCGCUCUUCAUGUCCAAAUUUAACAUCUCCAACACAACAUUGGGGGCUAAUUGGGACAUGACCCUUACAAUAGACAACCCCAACCUGCUCACAUGGGUUCGUUUCAACCACAUCAAGGGUUCAAUGUCGUACAAAGAUAACAUCCUCGCGAUAAGCUCCAUCGAGCCAUUCAUGUUGGGAUUGAAGGAACGAAGAACGGUGAGGGUGAAGAUAUCGACGAUGGGGUUGGGGGAAGAGGAUCGUGAUCAUCAGCUGGUGGUGAAGAAGAGGGUUUUGGAUGAGAUGAUGAGCAAGAGACGUGAGGAUGGAGCUGUGCAUUUUAGCAUGCAAAUGUUUGUUUGGGCCACGUAUAGGACUGGUUUGUGGGGGACACAACAAGAUGUUGUGAUGAGCCCUCAGUGUUUGGAUUUGAAGGUUGGGUUCUCGCGUGGAAUUGGGUUCGGGAGUGGGAUUAGUGGAGGGCCUAUGAUGUGUUCUGUUCCUAUAUUAAUUAAUUGACCAAAUUAGACUUUUUCUUUCUUUUUUCAUGUAGAGGUUUUUAGUUUUAGAUUGUUAAUUUGAUCGAUGUAGGAGAAUCAAAAUCGAACCUGUAAAUUAAGAACAAAGAAAUGAAUUGUUUUACGCAUCAAAAUUGAAGGUGAAUAUGAACGUGAUGUUAUGAAAUUCUUUGAUGAUCUUUGUCUGGACUUGGAUAAAUAAAAAAGUGUAUACUAGUGAUUUAUCUUAUGAAUUUGUACUUAACUUUUGAUUUGCCCUAUCUUUUUUUUUAAAGAAAAUUAAGGAUAUAAACUUUUUUUUUCCGUCAAUUUCUCCCUUACCGUCUAAAUCCACAACAUUUCAUCUAAUUUGUCGUUAAAUAUGAGGGCAAAUUGGUCAUGUUGUACUUCUAAAAUAAAAUAAUUUGAACUUUGAAAUAAUAAUAAAUAAUGAUAGGAAAAAAAAAGGUUUUUUUUUUUUUUUUUUUUUUAAGAGUAGAGAAAAUGUCAUCCUCAGACUUCCUAUUAGCCUCUGAAUUUCUGCUUACCAACUCCACUUCCUAUAAGCUUCAUACCAACCCCUUUCUUCCCCAAAAUUGAACACAUCCCAUACAACAACACCAAAACCUCCACCAUAUAUUUGAACAAAAUCCCCCAUAUGUACUUAUUUGAACACACACAAAAAACCCAGAUCCAUUUGAUCAAAAAUCGCACAAGGGGCAGAGGGGUUGUGGUGAGGUGGGUGAUUUUGUGGUGUCAGGGAUGGACCUGGGGUUUGGGGGAAGAGAGAGAGAGUGUGUGAUGGUUGUGGGGUGGUGGCUGUGGGAGGGUGAGUUGUUGAGAGAGAGAUGGAGAUUGCGAUGGAUAAAGGGGUGGUCGUGGGUUUAAGGGUGUGUUGUGAAAAGGAAGGCAGCGACGGUGGGAAGGGGGGAUGGGUUGCGAAUUAGUCUUGGGGUGAGUUGCAGGUGGGAAAUGGGUAGUCAGGUUGGGGAAGAAAAAGAGAGAAGGGAGGGGGGUUCUGUGGGUAGGAUAGGUUUUUGUUUUGUUCCUUUUUUUUAUAAUUUUUUCUAAAAAUAUAAAUUUUAUUUUAAUAAUUUAACUGAAAAUUGGAUGCAAUGUUGAUGAUUUAGACGGUAGGGAGAAAAUUGGAGAAAAAAAAAUUUUAUAUUUUUAAUUUUCUAAAAAAAAAAUGAUAGGGGGUCAAUUGAAACCAAGGUAUAAGUCAAGGGACAAAUCACUAGUAUACCAUAAAUAUUUCACUACAUAAAUGAAAUAAACAGAAGAUUUCUAGAAUUUACACGUGCUCUUACAGAAAUUUCAUUAAGUAUUUGGUGUGCAAAUGAAUUUUUAUUAAUUUACUAGAGUCACCCUGAAAAUAAAAUAAUUAUCAGAAUAUAACUCAAAUUUAAAUCUCCUUUUUUUCUAUUAAAAACAACUAAUCCUCCUCGUAAAAAUAUUUACUCUCCUCAUUGUUUUUCGGUUGGAUCCUCCACUUACAUUAUAAUUGUAAUUUAUGCUAAUAGGGUCUAGUUCAGUUAAAAAAUACUUUGAUUUGCAAACUAUUGGUCUCAAGUUUGAAUCAUAUAGCACCGUGAUAGGUCUAUAUGAGAAACCCCACUCUCUAUAGUUUGGACAAAAAUUAUUGAUAUUUGAUCUAUCCUUUCAGAUGUACUUGACUCUUUCCAAACUAUUUGCACUUGUGAAAGGACACGAACUGCAAACAUCACUUCGUUUUACCAAAGCCAAAAAACGUCUUCAACCACCACGCGUAUAUAUCCUUCAAAACAAAUAAAAUAAUUGCCCUGCAAACGCAACUUGAUUUUAACCGCUGCCAUCUUCCCUCAUUUGUUCCUCUCUUCUCCCUCAUCAUCUCCACCUUUCUCCCAUCCAUUAUAAAUCCUUAAAUUCAGUAACUUAUAAUUAGUACUGGGAAUUUUGCUUCACAUAUUGGAUUGAUUCAAGACCAAGGAAACUUAGCAUCACAAGGUACGGCUUUCUUUCUCUAUCUUUAAAUUGUUAUAAACUUCGUCUGGGUAAAAUUAAGUUGUCAAAAUCAGUAAUUUGGUGAACGGUUAUAAAAUCCAAGUCUUGCAAAUUGUCUCUUUGAUUUGUCCUCUUGAAGCUUCUUAUUUGAUUAAUUAUACCAAGUGAGUAAUCUAUUUGGAGAGUGUCUUACAAGUAUGUUUGUAGCAACAAAUACCCUGCAAUACUGCAUUUAAGAACAAACUACCUACUGCCAACGGGGUCUAGCCUAGUGGUAAAGGGCCUUGACUUGCAGAUCAGAGGUUUCAGGUUCAAAUCUCACGGCAUCAUAGUAGUGUGUGUGUGAGAAAUCCCCCACCCCUGUAGUUUAGACCAUCACUUGUACUAAAAAAAAAAAAAAACUAUUGAACAAACUACCUACUACAUUUUAUUUCUAAUUUCUUGUUAGACUUUUUAUAGCUUUGGCCGAUCACUCUUUUUUUUUUCUUUUUUUUUUGGUUGUGAAAUUAGUAAAAUAGUAUUUUUAAAUUGAGGAAUUAACAAUUUUAAUUCGGUCUAUAGAUUAUAUUAAAAAAAAUGAUGUUCUAACAUGUUAUAUAUUGCUAGACUACGAACCACGAGUAUUCUCUUUCACUGAAUAAUCGGUGAAAAUUUCCCUAACAUAUCCAUCUUGAACUUUGUAUUCUCUCUUUCAGGAAGAGUUAUGCAUGGCUUCUUUGUGGUGCAAAAAGUCUCCAGAUUGCAGUAAAAUUCGUGGAUACAUCCUGCUUUUUGUUAUAGUGGUGAGUCUAGCAACAGUCAUCGGAUUUUCUCUCUGGUUCUUAGGCAACUAUGUGGAUUCAAAGUCCGGCCCAGGAACAGACCCCCUUGUGCUUCGUUUGGAUGCAUUUUCUCUAUCGAAUUUCGAGGUUUCGAAUUCAUCAUUCUCAGCUGAAUGGGAGGCCAAGUUGACAUUUGGGAACCAAAACGGUGGCCUAACUGUUACCCUCAACCCCUUUGAGAGUUAUGUGUUCUAUAAAGAACGUGAGGCUCUAUCAUGUGCUUCUGUGGAUGCAAUGUUGCAUGUUCCUCCAAGGAAACAGAAAACUCUGCAGAUCAAAUUUGAUCCGACAAGUUGCGGAGGAGAACAGCCGUAUGUGGAGGAUCGAGUGAUGAAGGAGUUGAGUGAAGAUCGAAAGAGUGGUCACCUUAGCUUUAGUUUGAAAAUGCGCAUAGAUGCUUCUUAUAGUAUGAGGGAGCUUUUGGGAAUGGGAACCCAAGUGACUUUAAAUCCUAACUGUUCAGGGUUGAAGGUUCAGUUUGAGGGUGCAAAAGGGGAGGGAAAGAUAAAUGGGGGCCGCAAGUGCACCAUUCCAUUACCUAAAUGAUCAUGCAAUUCUUACCGUAGGUAAGGGCCGGCUCUGAAAUUUUAAGGGAUUAUAGCAGGCGAAGAUAAGCUCAUGAAAUAGGAUUAAUGUAAAUUUCGUAUAGAUAAGUUGUUUAUUUCAAAAAAAUUGAGUCCUUUUUACUUGGGCCAGAGCACUUGAAAAAAGUAGGCAAAGCCCAACUUGUGAGAAAUUCUUGUGAUUUAAAAGUAGCAGGUUUUGCUAUAUAAGGAAUUAUUAACUCAACAAGUAACGGAUGUCACGUAAAAGGAAAUCAAAUCAAUGUGAUUUAAUUUUCUGGUUUUCUUCUCAUUUUAAAUUUUAAGCACCCUUGCAUUAAAUCAUUGAGUUUAUGCCAAAGGAUGCCAAUUAGCAUUAACACUGAGCUUAUCCAUUUUUGACCUCCAUGAAUUAAUGACAUAAAUUUUUUGAACCAAAAUGUGCACUGAUUCUCUGAAUUUGACUGCCAUUUCAAUAUUAGUUUUUCCCAAUACUCUCCCAUUCACACCUUAACUCAUUGCAGAAAAACAAAAAUGGGCCCUUUGUGGUCUCGUCGCCACAAGGCACUGGCGGAAGAAAUGUCCUUGAAAUUGGCUGCUGCUACAAUCCUCAUCACAUUACUUGCAUUUGUCACCACCGUAUGCUUGUCGUUGAACGGCGGCGUUCGAACAUAUCCCAUUGCCAUUGCUCAGCACUCUUUCUCUGUCUCAAACACAACGAAACUCGUCUCUGAACUGCAGAGCGCUGUUUGGGAUGCAGAGUUGAAGUUCAGCCAGAACAGUGAUCUGCAAGUUCACAUCAAACACUUUCAGGGCUUCGUGUACUACCCGAAAUUCGAACCGCUGUGGUGUGCCUCACUGAAGCCAGUGGACGUUGAGUUCAGGAGCCCAAAUGGGCUGCACAUAAGAUUUGAUAUGAGAGAGUGUGGGGAGGAAGGGCUCGGGGUUUCGACAGAGGAAGCUCUGAAGGAGGUUCGUUUGGAAAUGAAAAUGGACCUGGUUGUGCCUUACCAGUUUGGAAAGACCAGAAUUUGGGCCUGGCUUUGGGGAUUGAGUGUUGAAGAAUCUUGUUCUGAGUUGAGAGUUGAAUUUGUGUCUUCGGUUGGAGAGGGGAAACUGAUUGGUGAGGGAGGAUGGUGCUUUGUUCCAUUGCCUGAGUAAUUUUGAGUUAUGAUCAACUCAUGCCAAUCUAAAUAAUCUUUGUUUUUGCUUCCCCUUUUAUUUAAUUUUGUUUUGUUUCUCCUCUAAAUUAUUACCUCACAGAAUUAGGCAUCAAGCAGACAGACACAAAGAAGAGAGUUUGAGUCUCCACUCUCCUCUCUUUUUUUUUUAAUACGCAGAAAAGAAAAAUAUGAAACUGACAGGAUCACCCUCCAUUCAUACUGAAGGAGACGAGGUUACGUGACUUUGCAGUUUUCAUAGUGAAGUUUGAAAAGGGUCAAAUAAUGCCAAGAUUUUGUCACUUUCUUCGUUUCAAUGUUAAAUGUCCUCGAUUAUCACAAUCAUGAUUCAUCACGCCUCGUUUACUUCUUUAGCUUUUAUUUCCAUGUUCGAUUAAUUUCUUAAUCCCUUCAUUUUCUCCCUUGAUUGUUUCCUUUAAAUAUUCUAGUUUACCAUUUUUAGUAUAAUUCUCUUGUAUUUUUAGUUUUCCGUGUUGGAUUAAUUUCUUGUAUAAAUACUGAAUUCUGCUCCCAGUAGCGCUAUGGGCACCAACUUUUUUUAUCAAUUUUUUGAUACCAACUUAUGUAGCAACUGACAUGGCAAUUCAAGUCAUUUGCCACCUCAUCUAUUUUAUUUGAAUAAUUUAAAUUAAUGCACAUAAUCUAUUUUAAAUUAAUUUAUUUAACUUUUAUAUAUUUAUCUCUUCUCAAGUCAUCUCCAUCAUCCAUUCCCAGCCAACAGCUCCUCCAUCGUAGCACCGCCACGAUCAUGAUGAUAGCAAAUUGAUGGUUACGUUUAUAGAUGAUAAGAUGAUGCUCAUCUCUGAUUUUGGGUUUUGGACAUUUAUGGUUCCUGGAUUUGGUUGAGAGUAUGGCGAGGAAGAAGAAUCAAAGGAGAGUAAAGGCAUGAGCAUAUAUAUAUAUAUAUAUAUAUAUAUAUAUAUAUAUAGUUCUGAUCUUUUGGACCACAGGAGUCCAAGAAAUUUGUGGUCACUCACCGUUGGAUGUAAAUUCAACGGUUCACUCACUCUUGCACUCAUUUUAAAAAACUUUUUUCAACCAUUGGAUUAAUAUCCAACGGUAGAUAACCACAAUCUCUUAGACUCCUGUGGUCCAAGAAAUCAUCGGGACUAUAUAUAUAUAUAUAUAUAUAUAUAUGAAUAGAGUUGGUGAAUCAUAGGAUCUUAUAUGCAGUCUCACACCGAUCACAUCCCAUAUAUUUGGUUUUUCUUUGGAUGAUAAUCACUGGUUUUCUUUGAACUUGGCUGGAAAACUAUUAUUGCUUUGUUGAUUAUUAAUAUUAUUGUAAAUUCUACAAAACAACUAAUUACGUUGAUACUAUGAUUGGUAUGAAAACAUUGAGGAUUUAACAAAUCAGUUAAGAGAGGUGUGAUGAGAGCUCUUCAAUGGAAGGAAUGAUUAUUGAGUUUCUAGGGCUUUUUUGGGGUUGGGGAAGGGUUCACCGUUGAACCAAAACUUAUGGGUAUUUUUCUUUCUUUUUAUUUUGUUGGACAAUUUCUCUUUCUUUUCUUUUUUUUCUUUUUUCUUUGUUCAGGAACAAAAUGUGUAAUUAAAAAAAAUGACAUGGCAAAUGACAAGGAUUGCAAUCUCAUGUACUACAUCUAUUGGAGAAAUUAUAGAAUGCUAUUGUAUUACCAUGUCAGCUAAUUAUACUUCCAUUCAAAAUAUGUCAUACGUCAUUUUAAAAAAAGUAUAAUUUUUUGUUUUACAGCUGGACUUUUGCCCUCUAGAAUAAUAUUUGAAAAAACAAAAAAACCAAAGACGCCGGAAACCAACUCCCACGACAACUCAAAUCUUCCUACCUUGCACUACCAACCACCCAACCCAAUCGCCCAAGGGUUUUGAUUGGCCACCUGGUUAAUCUAAAACAAGAACCACAUAAAGAAAUAACUGGAAAUAACAAUAACUGAUUAUUCCCUUUGUGGUUUCUGUACAAAUGAUUAUCAACAAACCAAAAAAAUAAAAUAACCAGCACACUAUAGAAACCUGUCGAGUCCCUAAACGAGCUUCAUAAUCCAUGGACUAUUGGGUUGGUGGAAGAAGUGCGAGGAUGGGGAUUGGGUUGUGGUGGGAGGUGGUUUCGAGUGGCUUCUUUGGGUUUUUCCUUUUCUAAAUUUUUUUAAUAAAAAAGUCUUAUUCUACAGUUAAAAGAAAGUAUUAAAUUCAGCUGUAAAAAAAAUUAUAAUUUUUUAAAAAAACAUGAUAUAUAGCAUAUUUUGAAUGAAAGUACCGCUAGCUGACGUGAUAGUACAGUAUCAUUCUAUAAUUCUCCAUGUGUUGGUAUCAAUUAAUUGGUAAACAAGUUAGUGCCCGUAGCAUUAUUGUUUUGCUCCUUUCAAUUAGGGAUGAGCAUUGGUGGAUCGAACAGGUUUGGACGUUACACAUCAUGUGAAUCGGAUUUAUAACCACCGAUACAUCGACAAGUCCAACUCAGUUGAUUUGCGGGUUGGGUCAGGCAGGCACCGCAAGUUGGAGGAAGGUGAAACUUGCACAGAGCCAAAUAGAUGAAGCCUUGAAGAUGGAACUUUGAACUUGGUUGGUAGGUGGCUAUGGCGGGGCGACAACUAUAUCAAGAGACAAUUUCAUAUUUGGGAGUGAGGGAAUGAGGGCCACGUCAUGUUCAUGUAUGUAACUUGCAAAAAAAUUGUACAAUUUUCCAUGGGAAAAUUAUGCUCUCCCCACGUAGCUUCUCCUCUAAUAGUUGAGGAUGAAGGAGAUAAGCAAUCAGACAAUGGGAAAAUUUUCAAGUAUGGUGUUUCGGGCAGAGGCACUCAGAAAACACACCUAAGUAUUCCCCUAAAUAAACUCAUGCUUGCAACACAUGAUCUUUAAUGUGUGCCAUUGUUCGUGGCCAUGAAGAUUGACAUGGGGGUGCUAAUAUGCCAAUUUUGCUAGCUAUAAUCCUUUUGUCUUCAUCACUUAUUUCCUUAACAUAGAUUACAACUCCUAAUUAAUUACCUUGUCCUACGCUCUUUCCGCGGCUUUUCACAGCACACCCACCUAUUUUUACACUCUCAUUUCCUUCAAUAAUUAAUCUCCCUCCAAUACACAUUUUAAUCCCCUACCCCAAAAACUCCCUCCUUCUCUCUCUCUCUCUCUCUCUCUCUCUCUCUCUCUCUCUCUCUCUCUCUCUCUCUCCCGGAAGAUUCCUGAGAGAGAGAACGAACAUCCCGUAUAUAUAAUUAAUAGCAGCACAUAUGGCUUCCACAACCGAAACUAAUCAACCCCGCUCCUCCGACCAACCCGCAACACAAUCAUCAGAAGCCCACCAACCUCGAGCCCCCAUUGACCCCUACCCCCCGCCCGCCGGGGGCACCUAUCCGCCAUCCAACAUGAGCUACGCGCACCCACAAGGAUACCCCACCGUAGCGCCCCCCUACCACGGGUACCACCCGAGCGCCUACAACCCUUAUUACGGGGACCCCUACUACACCACCACCUCCUACAACCAAGCUGACGAGGCCGCCAGCAGCUGCUUCCGGUGCUUCUGCAUCAUCAUGUUCCUCCUCGUCAUCUUCACCCUCCUUGCCAGCAUCGUCAUGUUUGUCGUGGUCCGCCCGGAAACCCCGGCCUUCAAGGUCGAGUCCUUUAGCGUCUCCAACUUCAACCUCGUCCCAGGGAGCAAAGUGCUCUCCGGGAAAUGGGAGGCCUCCAUCUACGUGGACAACCCCAGCUACAGGAUGAAGUUGGAGAUAGACAGGUGGGAGACCUCCCUGUACCACAAGGACAACUAUCUCGCGAUGGGCUCCGUCAUGCACUCCAUGAAUCUCGAAUCUCGGUCAAAAGGCACGAUGCACAUGAAGAUGGAGACGUACAAUACAACGGCGAGCAGCGCGGUAGAGGACAUGGAGAAGGAGCAGAAGGAGGGCGGGAACGUGAGCUUCAAUUUGAGGUUGACGCUUUCGUACGACAUGAAAGCCAGUGGUUUUUUGUAUAAUCACUAUAGUAACUACAGAAGUGGGACCCUCCGGGUGAAAUGCUCGGAUUUGAAGGUGCCGCUGCCGGCGGGGUCAAAUACUGGCAGCAUGCCCAGUGGGAGCUCGAAGGCAUGCGAUAUCUCCGAUGGUUUCUGAUUAUUUAGUCAUAGACGAGAAAUGGGUCGGAUAUUUUUUGUAUGGUCUCUCGGUCUCAUUUACUUUCUUCCCAUGUCUCCUCCAUAUGUGGGAAUUGUGUAUUUGGCUAACUUAUAUUAGACGAAGUCAUAUGUUCAUAAUUUUAGAAACCCUUAAAUCUGUUAAUUUUAUUGUAGAAAAUUCUUUAGACUAUUGUUUCUAGGAUUUCUUGUGCUUUGUUUAAUUUUAAUUUUGUUAUAACUAUAUAGUGACACAUAAUGACUAACUCGGGAUCUGACCGUAUUUCUCUUUUCAGUAUUAAAAGGCAUUAGUCAUAUUAUUUCAUGUUUGUAUCGAAUUACACAAUACUAACCGAAGUUAUAGAAGAUUCUUAAUCCAUUCAUUAAUCAUGUAUGGUUAACUAAAUGCAAAAUUUCUCAACUUUAACAUAAGUUACUCAUUCUUUGAUAAAAACAUAUAUAUAGUUUAUAUUCAAUUGAAUAUGUUUGGAUAAAUUUUAGCUUUCGUUAUUGACCAAUGAUAUGGAGAACACUGCACAAUGUGAUCCGCGAUCGUCCCUUCAUGUCUAUUGUUUUUGAGGCACUUUGCAAAUAAGUCUCUCCAAAUUCUAUUUCAUAAUCAAAUUUGAACUAAAAAAAUAAACCUUUAGACCCGACUUUUAUUGAAUCUAAUAAUACCAAUUGAUAGGUCAACAGCGUUUAGCUCACUGAAAAAGUGAUAUUGACAGGAGAAUAAUUAUGUAGUUUAGACUAUUCAGUCCUGAUCUCUCAGACCACAAGAGUCCAAGAAAUUGUGGUCACCCACCGUUGAAUAUUAAUCCAAUGGUUCAAAAAAGUUUCUUAAAAUGAGUACAAGAGUGAGUGAACCGUUAAAUUUACAUCCAACGAUGAAUGACCAUAAAUCUCUUGGACCCCUGUAGUCCAAGAGAUCAGAACUGCUAGACUAUUAUCACCAACAUUAGGAUGUGUAUUGCACUAAUUGUGUUUUUUCUUCGUGAAAAAGCUCCAUUAAACGAGUUGACAAAACAUCUAUAAAAAGUGUUAGGCUCAACAUUAUGCUUAAAGCAAAGGCCACCAAAAAAAAAAUAACGAAGUAGGAGUCCAACAAACACGCAUAUGUCCAUUUGGGCUUUAUCGAUUCAAAUACGCGGAGCGGGUAACCGCGAACCCGAACCCGCUUCGCAUAAGAAACAGAUAGGGACAAUGACGAGCCGACAAGUGUCACCACCGUAGAAGGCGGGGAGAGAUUCCUCAGUGCGGCGCUUCAACUUAAGUCUACGCCCUCUGCCAAACAAAAAAGAAUACAAAAAGAAAAAACAUAGAAUUACGCGUUAUUUGCCAAGCAAUUCUAUCAACAAUCAAACUGUAGCCCUCAAGCAACUUUGUGCUCUCAGAAAUUUUUUUUUUUUUUUUGUGGUAAUUUUUUUUCGCAUAGUAUAUCUAUCGUAUCGACCGACCAAACACCUCCUCCUCUACCUCUACGCCUACCUUUUAUUUUUUCCUUACCUCUCUGUCUCUUGGAAACCAAAAACUCAAUUAGCUCUCUCCGCUCUCAAAUGGCUACCUCAGCUGCCGGCGCCGAUGAUGGUCGUAACAAGACGGUGACCGGCUACCCAGUUGAGCAGGGUCAAUUCGCAGCCGGCUACCCAGCCGCCGGAGCCUACCCCUACGUGGCCCCACCGCCGCCUCCUCACGCCAACACUUACCGGCCCAUGGGCCCACCUCCUUACUACGCCCCUCGGCCCACUGGGCCCAUCACGCCCAAUAGGCCCACCCUCCUCUGCCGCCUCCUCAUUGCCGCCAUCGCCGUCUUCGCCAUCAUGUCCCUCGUCUUCUUCAUCGCCUGGCUUGCACUCCGCCCCCGCCUCCCCGAGUUCCGGGUCGAAUCGGCCUCCGUCUUCCCGCUCAACGCCACUGGCUCCGAGCUCACCGCCACCUGGGACCUCACCCUCCUUGCCAACAACCCCAACCACAAGCUCAGAAUUUACUACGACAGCAUCCAGGCCUCACUAUUCUACGGCGACGAUUACCGGCUCGCCACGACGUCGUUGCCUCCCUUUGUUUUGACCAAGAGGAACCAGACGCGUGUCGGGUUCAAGCUGGCGACGGUGGGGGAGUACGUCGGCAAUUACGUGGCCAAGGGGAUCUCCGACGAGAGGGAUCGUGGGUCGGUGAGGUUCGGGCUAGGAGUUUUUGCUUCGGUUCGGUUUAGGUCUGGAGUGUUCCAGUCGAGGCCUCGCGUGUUGCGGGUCUUCUGCGAAAGGGUCGAUUUCGGGUUUGCCCAGAAGAAUGGGACGGGGACUUUGACGGGUCAGUCAAGUCCGUGUGUGGUUGACGUGUGACUGUGAGUAUAAUUAGUCCAUUGGAUUAACACAAAUUGGUAAAUGCUAUAUUUAGUCGUUGUUCAUGAUUUUGGGUUAUGGAAUAUAAUUCGUGAUCUUCUGAAUCCAAUUUCUCUCUGUUCUUUUAUGCUAGCUAAUGAUAGUAUAUUUUUUUUCAAUUAUUUUAUUAUGAUUUCUACUAGUUUUCUUUGUUUUGGAGGUAAAUACCAUUUUCCCCGUUUUGCAUAUGCUAAUUGGCAUUUGAAGUGUUGAGAUGGGUUAGAUGAUAAUAUGGGACAUUGCCACAUUAGGUUUUGUAUUUGUGUUAGAAUAAAGAGCAAUGUGAUUGUUUUUAGUGUUCUGGGGCUUUGUCAUUGUGAUUCAAACUCCAGAGCCAGAGACUGUAGGGUAUUGAGUGUUGCUUGGUGAAGCUUUAAUCGAGUGUUGACUCAUUUGGUAGAGAUGCAUAAAUGCAUUCUGAAUGGAUUAUAGGGUUUUCCCUCCACCCUUGAAUGCCACUUACCACACAGUCACAAGGAAAAAAGUAAGUGCGCACCAACCGUAGUUGUCUCCAAGCAUAACAUUUGAAGAAACUCAUCCCUAUUGUUUGUUAAUGAUAUCAAACCAUUGUUCGUGCCUUCAAAGAUUAUGCGCUUGAGAAGAAUGGUAAAGACUUUAUUUAAGCAUUGGAUUUGUGGUAGUGGCUACUAAGCCUCUCUGUUAGGAUGUCUGUUUUAUUGUGCUUAAUGCUGGUUGUAAGUCUAGGGUUGUGAUUCAAGCUGUUGUCUUGUGAUUCAAGUCAAUAGUAUUGGAACAGUACAAGAUUUUCCUGGGGAAGGGGAGCUUGGUCUACUAGGAACUAGCAAGUAGUGUGAUUUUACCUAUGUAUUGAGAAAUUGUUUAUUGUUUUGCUCUCGAAGAAUUAAAACGAAUCUCUCUACUUACUUCAUCAUCGUAGAGAUCAAUUCUUUUUAUAGGAGUUUGGUGUUAUUUGUUCUCUCUCUCUCUCUCCGCCCAUAGGAUAACAUCAUAAUGUUUAUCUUUUCAGACUCUGAAUUUGUGCUCAUGUAAAUGUGGUGUUGAAUGUUUGCUUGUAAUGGUCGAAUUGUGCUUUAGGCACUACUGUACGAGUAACGAUUAAGAGGAGUGGCUAGGUAAAGACUGUAGUUGCAGUUAAUUUGACUUCCAAACCAUUUCUACUACAAUGUUAAGUUUCAUAGUAGGUUAUGAUUUGGGUUCAGUUGAUAUAUGAUAAUAAUAGAACUGUUGUCAAAUGUAAAGUCAUUCUCUUUCUGAUUUUGUAGCUGUUGUCAAAUGUAAAGUCAUUCUCUUUCUGAUUUUGUAUUUACUCCUUUCCUGGCUGCUUUCCAUUUAGGUUUUUUCCUUUGAAACUCAGCUGCAUGUCUUCUUGUAGGAGAAAAAACACCAAACUUUUGUUCUGGCAACAUUUUAAUUACGUCAUACUGUAUUGCAUGUUUUCUGCUCCAUUUUAACUGUGUCAAUAUGCUGUUAAGUUGGCCAAACAGGGAACUUUUUAUGUUUGCUCUGUACUACUACGUCAAAGCUUGCCUGUAUUAGCUUUCACACUUUCAGUAUAGUUCUGAGCUGAUGUAGUUGCAUUGUUAUUGUUGAAGUUUUGAUUUUGAAAAAUUCAGAAUUUUGGGCUCAGAAGCCAUGCGAGGUUGGAGAUUAGAAAAGGGGCAUUGCUCGUCUUGCCCAAUGCGUUGAUGUUACUUGUUUUUAAUACUUAAGAGAAGCAAUUAUGUGCUUCUGAAGUCUCUUAUCAUACUUGAAUUUUAGUACUGGUUUUAAACUAUUAAUCUAGUGAUGCCAAACACUGUCCUUUUGUCCUUGAUGCUGAAGUGGUUUUAGUUUUACUUUGAUUUUGAUGAUUUCAUUUCUGAUGUUUAUAGGUGUUAGAGGUUAAUGUGUGUUGAGAUUGUUUUUCUGCUCUUUUAUUUUCUGUUUGUGGUUGAAACUUGAAACAUAGAAUCAGUUUCCAAAAAAUUGAAUUCAGUAUUUCAGGUUGGUACUGUAGUUCCUAUGAUUGGUGACAUAGUUGUAGCUCAACAGGUAGUUCAUAUUUUCCUAAUUUUAAAAGAACUUUUUAUUUUAAAGGUCCUUUUAGUGACAUUUUUGUUUUUUACUUUUAAGCUUUUCUUUAACGAGGUAGAGGGGGAGAGGUGGACGGUUCUUAGGAGAAAGGUGAGGGAAAAAGGAGAGAAAAAAUACUUCAAAAGUUCUAAAAAGUAAAAAAGCAAUUUAAAUGGCUUUUAGCCUGUUACUUUUAAUUCUCUCUACUUCUCCUGUCUUGUUCAUCUCUUUCAUCUCCUCCAUCACUUUAAUUUUCUAUAAAAGCUGUUAUCAGGGAUGCCUUCACUCCGCGUUUUUCUUUUGCUGGCAUUUAUGUAGUAGGCUUCAUCUAUUAAAGAGUUAUGAUUAAUCAAGGCAUGAGGCAUCAGUUUCAGUUAGGCGAAAUUAGGUUUUCAACGAAGAAAUAAAGCCUUACAAGUUCCUCGUCAUUACUUGCAUGUACUUUGCUUUUGAACUAUUCCAUCAUCAGUUCAACAAUUGAUUGAUGUGUAGAAUUUGGUCUUGGGUGUAUUGACUUGAGAUAGGUUGAAGAUGUAUUUAGUUGGUCCAUGCUUAGAGCUCUGAUUUGCUGGCUGAAAUGGUUUAACUUUUGGAAAUUUUCCUCUCUAUUUCACCGGUUGUACAGAAUCAUGUGUCUAUUAUGACGUGACACCUUAACGACCCUAAACUCGGACUAGAAAGAGUUCAAUCCCUCCCUCCUAUAUAUAAGUAUUAGCAAUUGUAUAGGUAUCUUUGGUUCCACCGCUUGUUUAAGUAAGGAGGCAGUGGGAUGAAGUGGUUGCUUGGCCGACAGAGCUUUCUGGGGUGGCCUAAAUAACUUUAUGAAAGCCUAUAUAUUAUGCAGAUAGCAUUGGCAAUGGAAUUAUUUAUAAACUAAUAACACUUUGAUUAUAUCUUAUAAACAUGAUAAGAUUCUCAGACACGAUAAUAGUGUACAUAUUUGUAUAUCUCCAGUUGGACAUGAUUAGGACGCUAGUGGAUUGAGAGAGAUUGACAUUGAUUUUUAGUGCAUGUAAAAGUAAUUGUGUAAAUAUCUGGGAUGUUUCUUCUUUUUUUUCUUUUUCUUUUUUUCUGUUUUCUUAUGGGCCCGUGAAGAAACAGCAUUGGAAUGAAAAUUCUGUGUCCAAAUUAGGAACGCGUGAGGGAUGAGACAUGGUUGCCCUUUGUCAUUUUCUACUGCUGAUUAGGACAAUCAGAAUGUGGAGGGAGCUAUUUGAUUGAUGAUUGAACAUAAGAAACUAAUCAAAUUAUCUGUUGUGAAGUUUAAUAAAAGAAGAGACACAAAUCUACAAGUCUCACGCAAUGAAAGCUAAAUCCAGAUUUAUUUUUGUAAGAAAACAAAGUCGUCCUACUAGCAAUUGACUGAUUUCACUUGACCAAAAGGUUGGGAUAGCAAUUUUUCCCGUCACACCCAAUCUCCACAUUGAUCUGUCCCGAAUGGGAUGGGGAUUGAGGCUUCUGCCCUUUCUCCAUCCCAUUCCGUUUUACAACUAUCAUGUUAAAGAAUGAUAAUUGUUUUGUUGACUCUUAAAUUUAAGCUUUUAUGAAUGGGAUGUGGAAUUCGAAUCUCAAUGAAGAAGACGAUAUCCAAUAGGGUUUGAGGCGGGAUUGUGGAUAUUUAACUUUUAUGGGGAUGGGGAUGAGUGUGAAAUAAUUGUUUCUUCGAGUAAAUUUUGUUAGGGGUAUAACUUACCACGAAGCUACAAACCCAACAUUAUUGCAUAUGUUUCUUCCUUUGCAGGCGAAAUAGUCCUCUGGGAGGGUGCAAAGGAUAGGAAGCUUCUCACUGGCCAUGUGACGGCAUGUGGAAAAUACGUAACAAAAGGCUUUACUUGGUGGCGUUUACACCUACGCCAUUAUUAUUAUUAGGCACCAUUUUAUAUUUAUAUUCAAAACUCAAAGCAGUGCAUGAACUGAUGCAAAAAAACAAAAACAAAAAAGAUUUAGGGGCUUUUAAGAUAUUUCCAUGUUGAGUCGGUUAGCUUGGCAAGUCAGUUUGAUCUUAAGGCUUUUCAUAAUUCAUUCAUAAUGUAGGAAAACACUUAAAAGGAAAGUGAUUGCUUGCAUAAUUACUUAUGAUAAUUUUGAUCUCCAUUUAAAGGAAAGUGCUUGGAUGAUCCCCUUUUUUUUUUCUUCUCAAAACUUGCUUUCAAAGUUCAUUUUCCAUCAUAUUUCAACUCCUUUUCUUCAAGAUACUUCUACCAUCAUACAUCAUAGAUGCAUCCAAAUGACUAUCUAGGGUUCAUUGGCUCAUCAUCACCCACUAUUAGUUUCACUUUUUUAUUAAUAGGGUGAUCAAUUACCCUUCAAACCAAUUCAAGACAGCUUAAUCAACCCAAUUAGAUAGUCAUCAUUUUGUGUCACCAAGAAUAUUAUCCCUUUCUUUCACCUCCAUGUCUUUUCUUCCCCAUUUUUCUUCUCAUUGUUUUUGGAACUCUCCCCUUCUUAGAAUGACCCACCAAUCAAAGGGUUUCUUUCUUCUCUCUCCCCCAAUGCUUUAUUCCACCAACUUUUUGUUUUUGUCUCUUUCAUUAACCCAUGGUUAACAGAAAGAAGCAUAGCCACAGAUUCUAGUCAGAUUUUAGCAGCAAAGCGCAUGAAGACAACAAACGAAUCCAUUGGGUGCAAGUUGCAUAGAACAAUUUUGGCUUUGGGCAUUCAUAUUAACCACAAAGGUUAGGUUAAAAGUUAAUUGUGAUUUACUUAACAGAGAUUUAAACAGGAAAUUGGGAUUUGGUGGUUUCAAAGAAGAUCUUGUAGGGACAUUUGUAAUUCCCAAAGUAGGGAUAAAGAAUCAGCAUGGAUGUCAGUGCAAGUGCAGAAGAGAAUACCUUUGUGUGUGUAGAAUCUAGUAGGCAUUGGCCACAAACCACCCCACCCUUCUUUAUGGACAUUUGGGGAUAUCCUUGGCUUCUUUUUGCGGCUUCCAUGUUUUGUAAAAGUGCUUUUACCCAAGGCAUUUUCUUCUUGUUUUUAUGAGAAAAUUGAGAGAAUCAGCAGCAAAGAAUUUGGUAAAGGGCCCUCUGCAUUCUCUGGAAACUGCACUAAGUGUACUUGGUUUCUUUGGCCACAGUACAUAAGAGAUGCAACAAGAGGAAAAGAAAACAAUCAAAUAAGUUCUACAGCACCAAGUACCAAAUAAUUGAACUCCAACAUGUCUAUGAGUAAGGCUCCAAUGAUUCAAAUUUUGGGUUUGGUCGUACCCAAAUAGUAAUAUUCUAAAGGAAAAUGCAACUAAGAUCAAAUAUUUCGAGCCGCUUCCGUGAAAAAUUCAAACUUUCUUUUUUAAUACUUCAAUCACAUAAAAAUAUAAACUUUGAGAUUCAAUAGCUAAAUACAUGGCAAUUGAAUCAUGAGCCGAGAUCAUAAAGAGCAUACAAGUAUACAAAGUGGAUGUCAUUGUAGGUGUCAAAUGAGUGAAGAAGAAGAAAAGAGUCAUGUGCUUUUAGGUGUGCCAACUAAUAUUAUCUUUCCAUGGUUUGAUCUCAAGUCUCAUAUCUGGAUGUGGUUUUCUUCUCUUUGGAUUUAUAUAUGACAAUAUAUAUAUAUAUAUAUAUUUAUAUUUAUAUAUAUUUUAAAAAAACAUUUAAAACACCCAAAUUUAUACACCAGUCAUAUUUUAUACUGUAUUUCUUUUUUCUAAUAUUAUAACACUUAAAGAAAACCCAAGUAAAUGACAAAUAGUGUAUCAUAUCCACCCACCAUCUAAUAAUGCUAAAUUAGUAGAAAGUUAAGUCUUUUUUUAGCAGUGUUUCUUUCAUUUGAUCCAAGACUUUUCUACAAGAGGCCUAUGUCAGAAUUAGUUAUUUGAUUUCAUAAGACUCUGCCAGAAUUUGACUCAGCAACAACCAAUUUCUAACCAUGUGUCUUCAAGCCAAGAAAUAAGACAAAGUAGGCCCUUCUGAAGAUUUCAACUUUUGUGAAUUGCUUAACUUUGAGCAAAUUGAUGGUGCAUAGAAGAAAUUUGAUUCCCUAUAUUUUUUUCUUCUCACUUGCUAAUAUCCAGUCAUUCGGUUGCAAACGACAAUGACUUUCAUUAAAUGAAAAUUGUUUCAUAGGAAAACAUCCAAAUGGUUAAGAACUUAAAGAAAGUUGAUGUUUGAAGUAUAUUUUAGAGAGGGGAUAAGGAGAACAACACUUUCAGAAACAAUGAAGGAAGAGAAAAUUUUAUAUAUUGAUUAAGAUUAUCGACCUGAUAACGAGAGAUUCACCUUAAUCAGCGACUCAUUGUCCGUACACAUAUCAAUAAUUUUCAUGUAACGUAAUCUUGUUCGGCAAGCUUCUAUCACCAUUUGAGAGAGAGAGAGAGAAAAAAAAUUGUAUAAAAUUAAGAGGUAGAUAAAAAUUGGUCAUAGGUUUGGUCAUUGGUGGUUGAGGAGACUUUUAGAGCUCGAUGUCGAUACUAAAUGUGUGAAAAAACACAUCAUGGUCUUGUAGUUCAUAUUCACACUUGCCAACCGACAUAAUCAAUUUCUAGUUUCUACCAUCAAUAAUGUAUUGGAGUGUAGUUUGGUUUGGUGCUUUUAACUAAAAUUAGUACAUGUAUUGAAAUUAUUGCUCUCUUUUUUUGUUGCCCACGUACCCUUUUACCAUCUGCUGGGAAAGUGCAGUGCAGCUAACCCUACUUUUCCUUGAUUAAAAAAUUAUUUUUAUAAAAUAAAUAAAUAAAUAAAAAAACCGUUCUCAAUGUUGUUUUCUAAGUAACAUUUUAGGAUUUUUAAAAAGCAAAACAAAAUAAUUAAAGAAACAAAACUGAUGAAAGAAAGGCUAACAAUUUUCUUUCUGGGAAAGCAAUGGGUUCUUUAUGAAAAAGGGUUUAAGCUUUUAAUCCACCCAAACAAAGUCUUUGUUUCUAAUUCAUCAGAGGUUAUGAAAUUUUCAAUACAUCCACAUCCAAAUCAUGUUUUUUUUUUUCCUUUUUUUUUUCUUUUUUUUUUUCCUUCUAUGUUGCAUCAUUGUUAGGCUUUAGGCUUUAGGCUUUAGCUGGUGGGAGAAGUAAUAUUUUGGAACCCAGAGGUUUCCUCUGUCAUGAUAAGUGGGGCCAAGUGGGUGCAAGAGACGUGUCAAUUAGACUUUUCCCAUGUAUCCAUAUUCAAUCGGACGGUGGUGAAGAGUCUUGCUUUUCCAAACACUUUAUUGAAGUCACAAUCGGCCCAUUCACAUUCUAAAUUCUAGUAUAGAAAGAAAUUUUAAAAAAUAUGUUAUUUUCUUUAGGCUUUUUGUCUUUCUGAGUUGAUUAAGAAAAAGCAGUGAGCUUCACUUUUUGACUAAGCGAGCACAACACAACUGAGGGUCAUGGAUUAAUACAAUCGUACUCAUUAAAACUCAUUUAUAUUGUUUUUUUAUAUAAAUGAUAUUCUAUUUUAAUUUAUUUUAAACUACAUAGAGGGGUAUUCAAACUCGGAUGUAAACACUGAAAUUCACUUACAUUAACAAUGAAGAUCGAUGGCAGACAAUAUUAAUGAUAUUUUAUUACAUAUAUAACUAUAUAUCUUGAAGCUAAUGCCAAUAGCGUAUUACUUGGAUCUGGUUUUGAAAAGAAUUAGGGUUUGAGCAACAAGAUCUUUCUUAGUGACUUGAGCCUCUAUAGUUUAUUGAAUGGACUUUAAUUUUGAUUAGUUGUAAAAUAAAGAAGAUUAAUAACUUGUUUUGAAACACUGAAACACAUGAGGUUUUUGAGGAGAAUUAUGAAGAAAAGAUAUGAACCAACCAUUGAGAUAACAUGUGGGUGAGCUCGACAAACAAUUUGAAAUCCUGUUUGUUGAAUAAAGCCAAGCAUAGAAAACGAUUGGUCUUAACCCAUCACACCAUAUGGGCAUCUUAACUAGGACACAUCAUGCAGUGAACAAAAACCCAACAAAUUUCAUCUAAGUUAUUUAGAUCAAAUCAUAUAAAUAAUAAACCCAAUUAGUAGCUAUAAUUGAUGAGCCUUGUCAAGUGACACAUGAUGACAUAAGGUAUUUGUGUAAUUUAAUUGGUUAAUGCCCAUGGUUAUGAUUGAGUAAUAAGAAAAACCAAACAAUGCCUUGGUACUGAAAAUUGAUGGGUCACCAAUUUCCACUACCUUGCUACACUACCACCAAACAACUCAAAAGCAACCAAAAAGUUCUUUAAAAAAUAAAAGUUAUUGGUUAGUGCUGGUUAACGAUUUAUAAUAUUUGGUUCAUUGUCGAUUAUUUGAUUGUUAUUAUAAAUAUUAACUUUAAUAGACAGUUACUCAUAUAAAAAAUAGAAAUUCAGAGUAAUUUUGGAAUGAGACCGUAAUCUAAUAUUAAACAUUUUUUUUACGCGAAUAAAAAACUAAUUUUCCUCAUAAUUAGUGAAAGUACUUUGAAAUGUCCCUAAACACAUUACACCUACUUUAGCAUACUUGCUUUUCCACCAUACAUACAUGAUCACAUAGAUCAUCAUCAUCUUCAUUAAAAACCAUGUAAUAUAUAUACCCCCACACACAUCCCCAACCAAAGCUCAUUUACUAAAGGGUCAACUCUCAAACCCAACUCUAACUCAACUCCAACCGUCCUUCCUCUCUCUCUCUCAGUCUCCCUCUCCACCUCCACCGCAAACUACCGCGGCCGCCGCCAUGUCGUACAAGGACUGCGGCCAACACGGAUACAACAAGCGGCGAAGGAGGUUUAAACGCUGCUGCGCCGGGCUCCUAAUCUUCAACUUCAUCCUGCUCGUCACCAUCCUCAUCGUGUGGGCCAUCCUCCAGCCCUCCAAACCCCGCUUCAUCCUCCAAGACGUCACCGUCUUCAACUUCAACAACUCCGUACCCAACGUCUUCUCCUCCAGCUUCCAGGUCACCGUCUCCUCCCGCAACCCCAACGACAAGAUCGGCAUCUACUACGACAGGCUCAACAUCUACGCGACAUACCGUAAUCAGCAGAUCACCUUCUCCACGCUCAUCCCGCCGGUGUACCAGGGUCACAAGGACGUCAACGU